rnacentral:lncRNA from 1 species
AAGUUUCGUUUAUGUAAAUGUCUAAAUAUCUUUAAUCUCUUUUGUUCAGAUGGAUGGUGAUACGUUGAACCUUAAUGAUGAUGAUUAUUUGAGCGAUGAUGGUCCUGAUUAUAAUGAAGAUGAUGGUCCUGAUCAGAAUGAAGAUGAUGAUCCUGUUCAGAAUGAAGAUGAUGGUCCUGAUCAGAAUGAAGAUGAUGUACAAGAUGAUUCUACAAGUGUGGCUAAGAGUAAGAGAAGUAAAAAACGAAGACAUUCAAAGUGUUGGCAACAUUUUGAAAUAGGAGAUAGAGUGUCUGAGGGUACUAACGUUGUCUGCAAGCAUUGCCACCAUUCCUAUUGCUUUGACCUGAGUAAUGGAACUACUACUCUGUGGCGUCAUAUUAGACAAUGUUCUAUGACUCCUGCUUCUGGAAGUACACCUGGCGGAAGCAAUAAGAAGUUUGAUAUAAUGGUCUUCCGUGAAAUGAUUGCUGGUGCCAUAGUUGAGCACGAUCUUGCAUACUCGUUUGUCGAGUUUAGGAGGAUUAGAGAAGCGUUUAAGUAUGCGAAUCCUCGUAUUGAGUUUUGGUGUAGAAAUACUGCUGUAUCAGAUGUCCUGAAGAUAUACGAGAAUGAGAAAGCUCAUCUUAGAAAGGUUUUGAGCGAAAUUCCCGGAAGAGUUUGCUUAACUACUGAU